rnacentral:lncRNA from 1 species
UCUCUCUGCAACCCCUCCUGGUGAUCUCUGAGUCUCUGAGCACCUCCGCCUUCCUCUCCCACUGCCUCUUUCUCCCCCUCAUCCUCUGGGACUCACAUUCCCUAAAUACUAAUGGCAGGGAUUUGCUGUGCCCCAUGGCUCAGUUAAGUUCUGCUCCCCAGCUCUGCCAUCAUCUGCCUUUGCCUGAAGGUACCAGGAUGGCUCUCUGCAAGGAUUCCCACCAGGAAUGCCAAAGCCAGAGACUUAGGGACCAAAGGACCCAGAAGGGAGAUCUGAAAAAUUCCUGCUUAGGGGCGGGUCCUGGAGGCUCUGAUUUUUCUGGGUAUUGAGGGACCCAAACUCAACCAGAUUCCAAAUGCCAGACGAUUGUGAGUAGAUACAGCUGGUGAGAGGGUGCUCUGGAGACGCCUGCAGAAAAGAGAGGAAACUGGCCCAGCCUCCUAGAGACACUUCUGAGUACGGCUCGGUCCUGAGCCUGACGGCAGUCCAGGCUGUAGCUGCCUUUGCCAGGACAUGUGAUAAAGGCCCGCAGAUCCUUGAUCAAGGUGUCAGCCACUUUGUCGGAGCUCCUGGAAAGGGCUUCUCUUUCCUUCAUGGACAUUCUCCAGAUGGAUUCUCGCUUUGCCACCCAGCCUGGA